rnacentral:lncRNA from 1 species
GAAUGAUGCAUGCUGACUGCUGUUCUCUGUUGUUUCAGUCCUCUCACAGGCUCUUCCUCAGAUUAGCUAAUAGGAAACUUUUGUUCCUUUAGAGGAGCAGAGGAACUGCCUUCGUUUCAUUGAGCUGUCAGAAACCUGAACACCAGGAAGCAAUUGUUUUUGAUUGCAGAUUUGGCAUUUAUCUGUUGCUGUGACCUGGGCACUUGGAGCAAUGUACUGAGCACAGUGGCUUUGCAGCCACAAACCAGACACCUACCUACUGACCUACCUACCUACCUACCUACCAAUGAACUGAUCGAUCUACCAACCUACCUACCGACCUACCUACCGACCUAUGUACCUAC